AUUGGAUUUGGAUCUCCACAUCGUUGGUGGGAGAAGGUUAUCAGAAUGGCUUCAAAAUUUGCGACCACAAUUGGCGACCACGAAGGGACAAGGAAUUAAGGUGAUUGCUGGGAGCCUUGGGGAAUGCCAAAGCCUUGCACAUCAGAGAACACCAAGCGGCCGCUACAAUAAGCAUCACUCUGGGACAGGACUUUAGAGAUCUUGCAGAAAUUGAAGAAAGCAGUCCUGUAAAAGCACAUAUUAGUGCAUAUUGGGAUUUAAAAAAUUACUCCAAGAAACCUCACAGUGUUAAUGGAGACCAAGAUAAUGCCAUUCAGAGCAUUCCUUUAGGUUGACUGACAGGUGUGUGUUGUUUGGCUUCAUGGAUGAAUGAGAGAGAGGGUGUCAUCAGCAUGGCAGAGGUAUGUUGUGUCUUUUGUGGUGUUACCUGAAGGAGGCAUGUGUUAUGUAAACAGAAAUAGAUCCUGGUGUGAAACCUUGUGAAGCUCAAUGGUUAGUCUUGUGUAUGUGGGAGGAUUCUUAGAAUAACAUGUUAUGGUCACAAGUAUCGAACAUAGAGAUCAAUCCACUGUCAGAGGCCUUAAGAAGAUCAUUUUUAACUUUCACCAAAGCUGUCUCUAUACUGUGAUGUGCUCUGAAACCUGACUGAAACUCUUUAAAUAAGGCAUUCCUCUGUGACUAUUUUACAGCAUCUCUUGUGGGGAUUUUUGACAUAAAGGAAAGUUGGAGAUUGGCCUAUAAUUGGCUAGGACAGUUAGGUCAAGUGAUGGUUUUUGAGUGAUGGUUUAACUACUGCCAACAUGAAGAACUGUGUGGUCAGUGUGGCAUUGUCUAACUUAGCUUUGAAAAUUCUGAUUCGGCAGCUAUAGAGGUGUGGGAAGUUUGAUCAGUCAUAUAGCCAGCAACGCUAAGUAGAGGGCUAAAAGUGUUAAUGAUGAAAUGUGAAUUGGCCGGUGACAGAGUUAAUGUUUAUCUAAAUUCAGCAUAUAAAUUUGACAUGUGCUCAAAUAGUGUUUAAGAACAAAGAGGAUCUUAUAGAAGCCAACAGAUCCCCAAUAAUGUAUUGUAUGAAGAAGCAGUAACUCAGCUACUAGUCGCCCUAAAGCUCCCUGGUCCUGUGGCUGUGAUUAGAUGUCUUGAUCACCAGAAAACAGACACAUGAAUAGGUAAAUGAAACAACUUGUGGCAGCUUUACUAUGCACUUCCUAAAUUAGUAGCUAUGUAAAGAUAAGUAAAGCUUUCUCUUUAUAACAGCAUUUGAGACAAACAUUUCAAGGUGCUUCACAAAAUAAAGCAAUGAAUUGGAAUUUGUUAAGGAAGAGGUCAACUGGGUACAAAUAUUAACUCUAGUACUAAGGUGCAUGCAGUUGUGAACUAACAAGACUACAACAACUAACACUGCAUGGCAUACUCACAAAUGUCCAUAGAUAAGUCCUCACAAAGGGCCUGUAUUGCUAACUGUGAACAAAACUAAUGCACUCUGCAAAGUUAUCUUUCUGCAGGUGGAGAUGGCAUCCGGAUAACAGACGGAGAUGCAGAGGUCCUGGAGCAGGUGCUGGCGAUCUGAUGACGAGUGUGAGGGGACAACGGAGUGAAACAGGCUGCUCCAGACAGCUGAGCCAUGACCCAUCCAGUAGCUGUUGAACCUGCUGCAGAGCCUACAGCCCAGGUGGAGCCGUACAGUGCCCAAACCAGCUUCCGAAUGAUGGAUGUGCAAGAUCAACUACUACCCAUCGCCGACCCUGACUUUAAUCAAGAGUAGGACCAAGUCGUCUCGAGUAUUCUUAGAAGCUAUGCAAGAUCCAGCAGUCAAGAAGUACCAAGAGAGACUUUUCUCGGACUCAUAAAUUGGUUGAAAUAUGGACUGAAAAAGGGACACAAGUUGAGUAAAGGUUGAAGCUGCUGCAGAGAAAUGUCAACCUUGAAGCUAACAAAGGACAUUUCAAAGCCCACACUGAGAAGUCUGUUCAGAAGAAGUUGCACCUGACCAAGAUGAAACCCAAAACUUAGAAUUAAUUGUUUAAUUGUGUUAUUUUUAAUGUCACUAAUGGUGUUGUGUAAUCCAUGUAUGUAUUAUGUGUCUCUGCUGAUGUGUUUUAUGCCUUACUUUCAUUUUCCUGUAAUUAGGCUGAUUUUUAAGUUUCUUGAGUAUUCUGUUUAGGAUACUGUGUAGUAUGAUUUGCAAAUGAAGAUGAAUCAAUUUGUCUUAAAUUAAUUGACUAAGAGAAA